rnacentral:rRNA from 1 species
UACAGAGGAGCCAAGCGUUGUCCGGAUUGACUGGGCGUAAAGCGCACGCAGGCGGAUGCGCGCGUGGGGUGUGAAAUCUGGCCGCUUAACGGCCAGGCGCCAUCCCAUACGGCGCGUCUGGAGUGAUGCAGAGGUCGAUGGAAUUGCCGGUGUAGUGGUGAAAUGCGUAGAUAUCUGGAGGAACACCGGUGGCGAAGGCGGCAUCCUGGACCAAUAUUGACGCUGAGGAGCGAAAGCCAGGGGAGCAAACGGG